rnacentral:rRNA from 1 species
CCUACGGGUGGCAGCAGUGAGGAAUAUUGGUCAAUGGACGCAAGUCUGAACCAGCCAUGCCGCGUGCAGGAUGACGGCUCUAUGAGUUGUAAACUGCUUUUGUACGAGGGUAAACCCCGAUACGUGUAUCGGGUUGAAAGUAUCGUACGAAUAAGGAUCGGCUAACUCCGUGCCAGCAGCCGCGGUAAUACGGAGGAUCCGAGCGUUAUCCGGAUUUAUUGGGUUUAAAGGGUGCGUAGGCGGUUUGAUAAGUUAGAGGUGAAAUGUCGGGGCUCAACCCCGAAACUGCCUCUAAUACUGUUGGACUAGAGAAUAGUUGCGGUAGGCGGAAUGUAUGGUGUAGCGGUGAAAUGCUUAGAGAUCAUACAGAACACCGGUGGCGAAGGCGGCCUGCUGGACUGCAACUGACGUUGAGGCCCGAAAGCGUGGGGAGCAAACAGGAUUAGAUACCCGGGUAGUC